CGACCGGCGCACGGGUGAGUAACACGUAUCCAACCUGCCGAUGACUCGGGGAUAGCCUUUCGAAAGAAAGAUUAAUACCCGAUGGCAUAGUUCUUCCGCAUGGUAGAACUAUUAAAGAAUUUCGGUCAUCGAUGGGGAUGCGUUCCAUUAGGUUGUUGGUGAGGUAACGGCUCACCAAGCCUUCGAUGGAUAGGGGUUCUGAGAGGAAGGUCCCCCACAUUGGAACUGAGACACGGUCCAA
rnacentral:rRNA from 1 species